AUACAUUUUCUCUAUCUUUUAGUCAUACUCACACUUUGGUAUCAAACCAUAUGUCUGUGUUGUCAGAUGAUGACGUAAACAAAAUGACAUAUUCUUUCUUCCAAAACACAGCUGGACAACAGUUUGAGAUCUAAUCCUACUUACGUUCGAUCUAUAGUGCUGGAACUGAGGCCAGCUGCCAACAGUCAAUUAAGGGCGUUGACUGGGGUCAAUGCAUCCGUAGAGAUCAUCUACUCAGCAGAAUCUGACAUCACAGCAUCAGAUGUUGUAGCAGAGGUGCAGAAGGCCACUGAAUGCACCGACUGUGCACUAAAAGGGGCAACUUUUGCUGAUGAAGACCUGUGUGCGAGGAACCCAUGUGAUGUAAACAGCACAAGAUGCUCUUCA